rnacentral:rRNA from 1 species
CAGUCGCCGCGGGAAUACAGAGGGUGCAAGCGUUAAUCGGAAUUACUGGGCGUAAAGCGCGCGUAGGUGGUUUGUUAAGUUGGAUGUGAAAUCCCCGGGCUCAACCUGGGAACUGCAUCCAAAACUGGCAAGCUAGAGUAUGGUAGAGGGUGGUGGAAUUUCCUGUGUAGCGGUGAAAUGCGUAGAUAUAGGAAGGAACACCAGUGGCGAAGGAGACCACCUGGACUGAUACUGACACUGAGGUGCGAAAGCGUGGGGAGCAAACAGGAUUAGAUACCCCAGUAGUCCCUGUCUCUUAUAA